rnacentral:rRNA from 1 species
AGUGAACGCUGGCGGUAGGCCUAACACAUGCAAGUCGAACGGCAGCACAGGAGAGCUUGCUCUCUGGGUGGCGAGUGGCGGACGGGUGAGGAAUACAUCGGAAUCUGCCCAGUCGUGGGGGAUAACGUAGGGAAACUUACGCUAAUACCGCAUACGACCUUCGGGUGAAAGAGGGGGAUCGCAAGACCUCUCGCGAUUGGAUGAGCCGAUGUCGGAUUAGCUAGUUGGCGGGGUAAUGGCCCACCAAGGCGACGAUCCGUAGCUGGUCUGAGAGGAUGAUCAGCCACACUGGAACUGAGACACGGUCCAGACUCCUACGGGAGGCAGCAGAGGGGAAUAUUGGACAAUGGGCGCAAGCCUGAUCCAGCCAUACCGCGUGGGUGAAGAAGGCCUUCGGGUUGUAAAGCCCUUUUGUUGGGAAAGAAAUCUUUCAGGCUAAUACCCUGGGAGGAUGACGGUACCCAAAGAAUAAGCACCGGCUAACUUCGUG